GACGAACGCUGGCUGCGUGCUUAACACAUGCAAGUCGAACGCUGAAGCCCGAAGCUUGCUUCGGGUGGAUGAGUGGCGAACGGGUGAGUAACACGUGAGUAACCUGCCCCUGAUUUCGGGAUAAGCCUGGGAAACCGGGUCUAAUACCGGAUACGACCGACCCUCGCAUGAGGGUUGGUGGAAAGUUUUUCGAUCAGGGAUGGGCUCGCGGCCUAUCAGCUUGUUGGUGGGGUAAUGGCCCACCAAGGCGACGACGGGUAGCCGGCCUGAGAGGGCGACCGGCCAGACUGGGACUGAGACACGGCCCAGACUCCUACGGGAGGCAGCAGUGGGGAAUAUUGCACAAUGGGGGAAACCCUGAUGCAGCGACGCAGCGUGCGGGAUGGCGGCCUUCGGGUUGUAAACCGCUUUCAGCAGGGAAGAAGCGAAAGUGACGGUACCUGCAGAAGAAGUACCGGCUACCUACGUGCCAGCAGCCGCAGUAA
rnacentral:rRNA from 1 species